ACGUAUCGCUGCCAAUCUGUAUAAAAUACGUUUAUCCGUUUACGAUUUAAAUAAUAUCUAUAUGAUAUAUAAGAAAACUGUGGUCUUAGAUAUUGAUACAAUGUGUGUUUUCAAAAGUUGAAGAAAAACCGUAUUUUCAUUAUCAAAAGUUUCUCCGAUACUACGAAAAAUAUCUAAUCCUGAAGAGGUCAAAGUGAUUUAUACUUGAAAAUGAAUUGGAGAUUUUGUUAAAUUUUUUCAGGAUUAUCAUAUUAUUGUCUCUUUUUUCUUUUUGUUUUAUCUAUAGAAUAUUGUUGGCUGUUCACUUCUUAUAAAUUUCCAGAACGCGUAAAGCAGUCACCUUAGCGUGAAAUUUCUUGCCGUUUCUUAGAUAGUAAAAUACUCGACGCAGAAAAGUAAAAUCGUGGCGAGCAUUACGAAGUUGGACUCGGCUCCGGCUGCGUAACUAUUCAUCGCGAUCGGAAGCCGCAUAACCGUAGGAACUCACCGCGGAAGAAUUUUACAACUCGAUUUAUUCGCCACGCGUACAAUCCUUUAAUCUUGUGUUAGUUACGAGUUGAAUGUACGUAACGCAUUCGUUCGUAAUACACUUAAUUAGUACUACGAUAUAUUUAAUGAUCCAUGUUGACCAUAUUGCUGUUGACCAUACGCUGUUGGGCAUACGCUGUUGGUCAUGCGCUGUUGGCCAUACGCUGUUGACCAUACUUCAGAGAGGAAGAAAAGAAUGUUUUGAACGAAUCUAUAAUCUUCUUACCCUGUAAGUCGAGAAUUCUGGAUGUGGAUACAUGGUUGCGUGCACCACACGCCAGCUCCUGUCCGUGGCACCAUCGAAUACCAAUAGACCUUGAGACAAAGAGUCCUGCAGUGUCAGAUAUAUAAAGGAACACGUCGUCGCAGGUAGUUGCCGCGGUAUCAUCGAUAAUCAGAUUCGUCAUCAACGUGUUUGGUCUUAACACCUGAAGAGGGAAAGUUGACUUUUUAAAAGAAUCUAACUUUAACAAUCUCAUACGUUCAAGACUCACCUCUCGUGGAAACGUGAACUGUCGCACCAACUGAUUGGUUUUCACAUCGAAUACCAUUAUUUUCGGAGGACAAACCGGUCUGAAGUCAUCAAUUGACGUUAUUACGCCGCUAUCUAUGGUCCAUAGUCGAUUACAUCUGUCUAGUUUGGUCCUGUACACGGAGAUCAGCUUGGAGCAGUUCAGAUCGCCUUUUCCAGCGCUGUGCCAGUCCCAAGAGGGUAGGUACUACAUUCUCUGGACGAUACUGAUUGAGAAAUUCUUGGUCGUACGGAAGUGCAAAGUCUAGCAACGGCCAUUGAGCUAUAGUUUCGAGGACUUCUGCGGUGGUUGAGGCGCAGGCGAGUCCUGCUAAGAGGAUCAG